rnacentral:rRNA from 1 species
GAUCAUGGCUCAGGACGAACGCUGGUGGCGCGCCUAACACAUGCAAGUCGAACGAGAGAUGAAGAGCUUGCUCUUCAAAUCGAGUGGCGAACGGGUGAGUAACGCGUGAGGAACCUGCCUCAAAGAGGGGGGACAACAGUUGGAAACGACUGCUAAUACCGCAUAAGCCCACGGCUCGGCAUCGAGCAGAGGGAAAAGGAGCAAUCCGCUUUGAGAUGGCCUCGCGUCCGA